rnacentral:rRNA from 1 species
AUUGAACGCUGGCGGCAGGCCUAACACAUGCAAGUCGAACGAGUGGCGGACGGGUGAGUAAUGUCUGGGAAACUGCCUGAUGGAGGGGGAUAACUACUGGAAACGGUAGCUAAUACCGCAUACCAUCGGCUUUGCCCAGAUGGGAUUAGCUCGUUGGUGGGGUAACGGCUCACCUAGGCGACGAUCCCUAGCUGGUCUGAGAGGAUGAACGGCCACACUGGGACUGAGACACGGUCCAGACUCCUACGGGAGGCAGCAGUGGGGAAUAUUGGACAAUGGGCGAAAGCCUGAUGCAGCCAUGCCGCGUGUGUGAAGAAGGCCUUCGGGUUGUAAAGUACUGUCAGCGGGGAGGCGGUACCCGAAGAAGAAGCACCGGCUAACUCCGUGCCAGCAGCCGCGGUAAUUC